rnacentral:rRNA from 1 species
GUGAGGAAUAUUGCGCAAUGGAGGCAACUCUGACGCAGCCAUGCCGCGUGCAGGAAGAAGGCGCUACGCGUUGUAAACUGCUUUUAACCGGGAAGAAACCCCGGGACGUGUCCUGGGUUGACGGUACCGGAGGAAUAAGCACCGGCUAACUUCGUGCCAGCAGCCGCGGUAAUACGAAGGGUGCAAGCGUUAUCCGGAUUCAUUGGGUUUAAAGGGUGCGUAGGCGGAGCGUUAAGUCAGUGGUGAAAUCCUGCAGCUUAACUGUAGACUUGCCAUUGAUACUGGCGCUCUUGAGUGCGCUUGAAGUGGGCGGAAUGUGCCGUGUAGCGGUGAAAUGCUUAGAUAUGGCACAGAACACCAAUUGCGAAGGCAGCUCACUAAGGCGAUACUGACGCUGAGGCACGAAAGCGUGGGGAUCGAACAGGAUUAGAAACCCCAGUAGUCC